UCUUCCCUUAAUCGAACUCCCUUUUGAAAGAAUUGGCAUGGACCCCAUCGAGCCAUUACAACGGAUUGCACA